rnacentral:rRNA from 1 species
AGUGAACGCUGGCGGUAGGCCUAACACAUGCAAGUCGAACGGCAGCACAGUAAGAUCUUGCUCUUACGGGUGGCGAGUGGCGGACGGGUGAGGAAUACAUCGGAAUCUACUUUUUCGUGGGGGAUAACGUAGGGAAACUUACGCUAAUACCUCAUACGACCUACGGGUGAAAGCAGGGGAUCUUCGGACCUUGCGCGAUUGAUUGAGCCGAUGUCGGAUUAGCUAGUUGGCGGGGUAAAGGCCCACCAAGGCGACGAUCCGUAGCUGGUCUGAGAGGAUGAUCAGCCACACUGGAACUGAGACACGGUCCAGACUCCUACGGGAGGCAGCAGUGGGGAAUAUUGGACAAUGGGCGCAAGCCUGAUCCAGCCAUACCGCGUGGGUGAAGAAGGCCUUCGGGUUGUAAAGCCCUUUUGUUGGGAAAGAAAAGCAGCAGGUUAAUACCCCGCUGUUCUGACGGUACCCAAAGAAUAAGCACCGGCUAACUUCGUG